rnacentral:tRNA from 1 species
GGUCAGGUAGCUCAGUCGGUAGAGCAGAGGACUGAAAAUCCUCGUGUCGGCGGUUCGAUUCCGUCUCUGACCA